AACCCCUCGCGCGGCGACACCUAGGCGAACUCCCCCAGGGCCGGAAGGCAGCAAGGGCAACCAAGCUCUGUUGGGUGCGCGAGGGGCCUUU
rnacentral:SRP_RNA from 1 species